AUGAUUUUGAGUUCUGUCCUUUGUCCUGCACCUGUGAAAAUAAGCUAUCAAUUUACUUUGCCAAACUGAAAUUCAAAAGAACUGUUUUAGGGGAAUUACUUUGUGGACAAAUUGUGAGGGAGGUAUGUAGCUUAUCUUUGUAGCUAUCUUAUUUCGGAAUAAAAUGGGAGGCAGGUUUGCCUGGUGCAAUUCCAAGCCUGACUUUUCCCUUUGGCUUAGUGAUUUGGUGGUCCCAAGAUUUAUUUUCCUUUCAUAUUCCCAUGUUUACCUGAAGUAUGCAUGCUAAUUAAUUUGUUUUUCUCCUCUUAAUGUCUUUUUUGUUGUAGGGACCCAUUCCAACUGAGAACUUUAAAGAUGAUUGAUAUCCCUUUGUAACACAGUAUGGAUAAUCUUCGUGAAUGUUCUUUGUGCUCCUGAAGAGAAGCUCUGUGCGUGCUGCCAAAAUGAAAAUGAACUAUGUCAGUGCCGUGAUGUCCAGUUGAGCUGUGACCUGGAUUCUGGUCUCGCAUACACAGAAGCAACUGAAAGCUGAGAAUGAGGGGCCGCCGAUGGCUGGGUGUGUGGGGGCAUUGUAUUACUUGAGCCCAUCCCUUGAAAAGCUUAGGACUCCACCACCUCCACUGGGAACUCAUCAACUCCUGGCAAGAAGAAUGUCCCUGGGCACGGGGGACAGGGAUCAGCUGUCCGAGGUGAGAGUCCUCCCUGGUGAGCCCACA
rnacentral:lncRNA from 1 species